CAUGCAGCAGCCGCAGCCCGGCUCCUUGACCAGCUCGCAGCCCAGGGGGCUGGGGGGGCACAUGGAAAGGGCUUUCUCGUCGCAGGGCUCGCAAUGCACGAAGGAGCCCAGGCCCUGCGCCGGCCCCGCACAGGAGGCCAGCAGCAGGAGGACCGCGCUGCCAGCGGCGCGCGGCUGCCCGCGGAACAGAGGGAGAACCUUACUCAGCGGCUGUCUGUCUGGAAACCCUGGCUCAGAGGCGUACAGACCUGAGUCGGACCACAGUGCCUCCACCAGUUAGCUGAGUGACCUUGCCUCCCUUCCAGAGUCUACACCGAGGUGUGUGUGGACAUGCAGGCAAGGGGGCCGGUCCCAGAUCACAGCCUGGAGUGGCACCAACUCCUUCAUCUGGAAGCCAGGAGAUGUGGGGCCAAUUCAGGACCUGUCCACAUGAGUUGACACUCUGAUGACACAGCAGUGAACAAAAUACAGUUUCUGCCAUCAUGGAGCGUAUGUGGAGGGGAGACAGACAAAAACCAAAUAAAGCAGCAAGUAGGUGACAGACGUAAUGACAGAGGAGGUGAGUGUGAUGAAGGUUCAUCAUCUUGCACACAGAUCUUUAUGUCUCCAUUGUUAUUUUCUUGGCUUUGAAGAAAAACAAUGCCAGUUUACCUAUUUCACAGGACUGAUGUGACAACCACCUGGGACUGUAUAAGUGAAAAUGCUUUUCAAUCUGGUCAGGAUGAUAUACAUGAAGAGGACUGCUGUUAUUUAUUUUAUUUUAUCUCCCCCUGCUGUUAUUUAUUUUAUUUUAUUCUGCCACCUCCCCUGUUAUUUACUUUAAAACUUGGUGACAUUAUGGUGACAUAGUGUCUGUGGGUUUUAAUGCCUUAAAAUGUUUAUUAUGUAAGUCUCUUGUAUAUUUUAAGUAGGAAACAGAAAUGGAGAGGGGAAGGAAAGAUCAGUGGGGCAGGGCAAUUUAGGAAAGUCAUUCGAAGACCCUUGAGUGUUACAAAUUAGGAGACAGGUAAUUGGAGAAUAGAAUUUCUUGUCUGAAGUGGAAAUUUCAGAGGAAAAUCAUCCUUGUUUUUUACUGACAUGCAGAUCACGUCUUGGUCUCUGCUGCUGGGCCUGCCUGUGCCCACUAGCUCCCGCUCCCAUUACCACUCUGCUCCCUGCUCUCUCUCUCUUCCCCACUCCUCUCCCAUAAUACUUGAGCCUCUCGUACGACCUCUUCAACCCCUUCUCUGUUGCCUUGGCUGGGAUGUCCUCUAGGCAACCUGGAAAGCAUCAGCAAUCAUGGGGUCCUGAUAGUCAUGGAUGAAGAGAAUGGAACUAGGUUCCACCAGGUUCCCAGAGCUCGGGCCUCUUGUGCAGGCUCUUCCUACCUGAGGUGGCAGCACCCAUCAUUCCUGACAGUUGCUUGCAAGGGGAGGCCUCUUCCAAAUCUGUAAGUCCCAGGUGCUCCAACAGGGAGGGCAAGUGCCUCCCUCAUAGCAACGUAUCUAGGUGUCUAUUUUGACAUAAUGCAUCUACAACACUGAAGGUACAUCUACACAUAAAUUAGAUGCCACCCAUUCACCCUGAAGUUGGCCAUUCCAAGAGCCCCUCCCGUCAUGCCCCCCGCCACCCCCAUCACCACCACGCCAAAAAAUGAAACGGCAUGAUUUCCUAUCUCAUAUCAAACCUUCCAGGCUCCCUUGGGGGUCCUGUUUGGUUCUUACAGAUCUAGAAACAACAAAAGAUGUUACUAGCUUAUUCUCCUAUUCCCAGUCAUUAAUGCUCCACUCAGAUAAUCUCAUAUACAGGGUUUGUAUAUGAUUUUCCUCAGAAAUUAGCCCAGGAGGAGGCUUUGUAGUGUUCUUGGGUCACUCGUUUAUUACUUUGCAUUCUGACAGUUUGGCAAAGCUUCAUAAUUAUAGGACGCUUGUGCAUCGGCUGCUCGGCAUCCACUCUCUCUUUUCUGAUAACACCAUCCUAAUUUCACAUGGCAUAAUUACCCAUGGGUGUAGUUUUAGUCCCAAUAAAGUCAUGUCCUUGGCUAACCGAGAGGUGUCCUGUUCUGGUCCAACCAAGAGGCGGGUCCCUGCCCCAGGCUACGCCAGCCAGAUUCUCACUCCCAGGACUUGGCUGAAAUGAAUCAGCAGGGUGAACUGUGCUGCUGUGUUCCAGCUCUGAGCACACCGGCUUCUUUCCUGCUCCACACAGAUGCCCUGACAGACUCUGCCUCUCUAAACCCAGCUCCCGGCUUUUCCUCUGGCCCUGAGAGCCACCUAUGUUAGCCCCAGAAAGAAUCCCUAACCCCCAGGUGGGCUUUGUUUUUGUUUGUGUGGUUUGGCCUAUGUUUUUGGUUUUUUGCUUUCCCUUCAAGCCUGCCAGUGUUCAUUCUAUUUGUUUCUAACCAAAGAAACUGAUUUACCCUUAGGAUGCUUACACUUUAAUAUGCGUAUGUGUUUAUACCCAUAACUCCAACAUACAAUCCAUCUAUUGGAACUUAAAAAUCUUAUUUUAAGCUCCUGAUCUUUUUCCCAUUUCCAGACCCAUAAAUACAACAGGACUAGCUUUUCCAACAGGAUGCGCACAGCCAUGCCUUAUAUCCAAAACGUAUACAUUUCUUUAACAGAUCAUGCUUUAGCAUGUGCUAGGUACCAAUAUCAUGCUGAUACCAGAGAUUUAGCAGCAGGCCCUUUCCUUAGGGGGCUUCUGUUUUGUGCGUGCAUAGAGAAGCAAACAUUCCACUCAGUGUGCGAAACGCUGUGCCUGGAGAAACCCCAGGAGGGCUCCUGACCCCAGCUACAGCUUCAGGAAAGGCUUCAUCAAGCAGAUAAUAUCCAGUUUCUGGACACUUGACUGAGUCUUUACUAAAAUCACCUCGCUUAAUCCCUGUAAGAACCUUACGAGAUGAGGCAACUGAGCUUAGAAAGUUCUGACCGGCCCGGGGACUUCCCAUGCCCUGUUAGGAAGUUUUGGAAGCCUCACCUAGAAAAGAUCCUGCCUCUCCAAGGCCCUUGUGGGCGCAGAGCCAUACUGGAUGAGGUAAUGGAGGCCUAAGAAAGGUUGGAGAUGUAAUCAAGUUCACAGAGUUAGCAGUGAUCUGUUUAAUCUGAAAAUAUGGCUUGAAUAAAUGAAUCAGUUGCUCAGCGAGCGGGCUGGGUCGCCCAGAUGGGAGGGUGUAGCCCAGUGGCUGUGAGAGGGCAGAGCUGAGUCUCAUGAGUGCUGUGGCCGUGGUAUCAACCAGGUUCUAUGUCCUCGGGGAAUCAGGACAUCUGUCCCUCACGUGAUUGACAUUUCCAAAGAGUAUCAGUGAAAGAGAUUCCGCUGAUUGCUACUGAAGCCCAGGCCCCUUUCCUUUGUCCAGGAGAAUCCAAUUUUGUUCAGAUGUCUACACCAUCCCCCGCUUCAGAGGGCAAUUUUGAUCAGUUAAACCAGUAGGUCUCAGAUGGGAAAACGCUUAGGCUCCACUGCCUCUGGCAGCCUCUUGCAACCAUGAGGGAAAAUACGGACAGGACGGUGUGGGGACAGGGCAAGACCACAGGGCCUUGAGGACUUCCCUAGGCUGCUGCUGUGACCUUACCUGCAGCCACUCUGGUCUUCCAGUGACAUAGGAAGGUAAAUCUCGUUGCUGAAUCCCACUGAGUUGUGUUCUCUGUUGCCUGCCUCUGAGAGCUCCCUUCCACGAUGCAGUACUUACUCGAUGUAAUUCUACAGCCAAUUCCAGUGUGUGGGUGCAUUUUCCAACACCACCAAGUAAUUAACUCAGUUCUGACACUCCCUGGAGAGAGCAUCAGAUCCCACUGGUUAAGGGCUCAGUCCCACAAGCCUGGCCCCUGCCCCCAGCUGCAGAUGACAGUAGAAAGUCCAGGUUGUAACCUGUGCUUCUGACCACUGGCUAUAGACUGGAGCUUCUAGCCAUGUCCUCCUUGGGUUCAAUUAAUUUGCUAGAGUGGCUCACAGAACACAGAGAAAUAUCUUACUUGUGAGAUGACCAGUUUAUUAUAAAAGGUUGUAACUCAACAACAGCCAGGUGGGAGAGACGCACAGGGCAAAGGUUCAUGCCCUAUGCCUUCCAUGCCCUCUCUGGGUGCACCAGUUUCCCCGCUGUCACACGUGUUUACCAGCUCUGAAGCUCUCUGAACCGUCCUUUGUGUUUUUAUGGAAUUUCAUUAAGCAGGCAUGACUUAUGAAAUCACUGGCCACUGGUGACUGAGUCAACCUCCAGCACCCCCUCUCCUUCC